AGCCUGAAUCAGUGUGUGUGUUAGUGGAAGCGUCUGGAAAGGCGCGCGAUACAGGGUGACAGCCCCGUACACAAAAAUGCACAUGCUGUGAGCUCGAUGAGUAGGGCGGGACACGUGGUAUCCUGUCUGAAUAUGGGGGGACCAUCCUCCAAGGCUAAAUACUCCUGACUGACCGAUAGUGAACCAGUACCGUGAGGGAAAGGCGAAAAGAACCCCGGCGAGGGGAGUGAAAAAGAACCUGAAACCGUGUACGUACAAGCAGUGGGAGCACGCUUCGGCGUGUGACUGCGUACCUUUUGUAUAAUGGGUCAGCGACUUAUAUUCUGUAGCAAGGUUAACCGAAUAGGGGAGCCGAAGGGAAACCGAGUCUUAACUGGGCGUUAAGUUGCAGGGUAUAGACCCGAAACCCGGUGAUCUAGCCAUGGGCAGGUUGAAGGUUGGGUAACACUAACUGGAGGACCGAACCGACUAAUGUUGAAAAAUUAGCGGAUGACUUGUGGCUGGGGGUGAAAGGCCAAUCAAACCGGGAGAUAGCUGGUUCUCCCCGAAAGCUAUUUAGGUAGCGCCUCGUGAAUUCAUCUCCGGGGGUAGAGCACUGUUUCGGCAAGGGGGUCAUCCCGACUUACCAACCCGAUGCAAACUGCGAAUACCGGAGAAUGUUAUCACGGGAGACACACGGCGGGUGCUAACGUCCGUCGUGAAGAGGGAAACAACCCAGACCGCCAGCUAAGGUCCCAAAGUCAUGGUUAAGUGGGAAACGAUGUGGGAAGGCCCAGACAGCCAGGAUGUUGGCUUAGAAGCAGCCAUCAUUUAAAGAAAGCGUAAUAGCUCACUGGUCGAGUCGGCCUGCGCGGAAGAUGUAACGGGGCUAAACCAUGCACCGAAGCUGCGGCAGCGACACUAUGUGUUGUUGGGUAGGGGAGCGUUCUGUAAGCCUGUGAAGGUGUACUGUGAGGUAUGCUGGAGGUAUCAGAAGUGCGAAUGCUGACAUAAGUAACGAUAAAGCGGGUGAAAAGCCCGCUCGCCGGAAGACCAAGGGUUCCUGUCCAACGUUAAUCGGGGCAGGGUGAGUCGACCCCUAAGGCGAGGCCGAAAGGCGUAGUCGAUGGGAAACAGGUUAAUAUUCCUGUACUUGGUGUUACUGCGAAGGGGGGACGGAGAAGGCUAUGUUGGCCGGGCGACGGUUGUCCCGGUUUAAGCGUGUAGGCUGGUUUUCCAGGCAAAUCCGGAAAAUCAAGGCUGAGGCGUGAUGACGAGGCACUACGGUGCUGAAGCAACAAAUGCCCUGCUUCCAGGAAAAGCCUCUAAGCAUCAGGUAACAUCAAAUCGUACCCCAAACCGACACAGGUGGUCAGGUAGAGAAUACCAAGGCGCUUGAGAGAACUCGGGUGAAGGAACUAGGCAAAAUGGUGCCGUAACUUCGGGAGAAGGCACGCUGAUAUGUAGGUGAAGCGACUUGCUCGUGGAGCUGAAAUCAGUCGAAGAUACCAGCUGGCUGCAACUGUUUAUUAAAAACACAGCACUGUGCAAACACGAAAGUGGACGUAUACGGUGUGACGCCUGCCCGGUGCCGGAA
rnacentral:rRNA from 1 species